UGUUAUUUACCAAACACAUUUAUUUAUAUUUCAUAUAUAUUUAGUAUUUACAAUAUUUACAUUACAGGAAAGGUGUACACACAAUGUGCAAAGAGACAAUAUAUAAAUAUAUCUGUAUAAUACCACAUGUAACACAUUGUUCAGACAGUUUGUUUCGCUGUCAAGUGGCGACGAUGAUCUCUUCUUUAGGAGUAUUUCAUAGACUAAGAUUUAAACUGAGAUCCCAAAUGACACUCUAUUCUCUACUGUUCCCCAUCCACAUGUAGAUAUAACCUCAUUGGGCUCUGGUAACCUGGUAACCUCGUAGGACUCUGGUAACCCUGUAGGACUCUGGUAACCUGGUAACCUCGUAGGACUCUGGUAACCUGGUAACCUCAUAGGGCUCUGGUAACCUGGUAACCACAUAGAGCUCUGGUAACCUGGUAAACCCACAUAGAGCUCUGGUAUCCUGGUAACCAUAUAGGGCUCUGGUAACCUGGUAACCACAUAGAGCACUGGUAACCUGGUAACCACAUAGAGCUCUGGUAACCUGGUAACCACAUAGAGCUCUGGUAACCUGGUAACCACAUAGAGCUCUGGUAACCUGGUAAACCCACAUAGAGCUCUGGUAUCCUGGUAACCAUAUAGGGCUCUGGUAACCUGGUAACCACAUAGAGCUCUGGUAACCUGGUAACCACAUAGGGCUCUGGUAACCUGGUAAACCCACAUAGGGCUCUGGUAACCUGGUAACCACAUAGGGCUCUGGUAACCUGGUAACCACAUAGGGCUCUGGUAACCUGGUAAACCCACAUAGGGCUCUGGUAACCUCAUAGGGCUCUGGUAAGUGAAGUAUAGGGAAUAGGCUGUGAUGUCAGAUUGGUCCUCAUUGGGUUGCAAAAUUCCGGUAACUUUCCCCAAAUUCCUAGGUUUUCCAUAACUCCUGAAGCAGUGUGGCAUACUCCUCCUCCUGCAGUAGGGAGUCCUGAUGCAGAUCACCAGCCUACCAGUCAGGCAUUCCAUCAGGAAUUAUAUUACUACCAGGCUACCAAUCAGGUCAUUCCAUCAGGAAUUAUAUUACUACCAGGCUACCAAUCAGGUCAUUCCAUCAGAGAUUAGUUCACUUCUGUGGUUCUCUGCAUCUGAGUAAUGUAGCUGAAGAACAUAUCAGGAUGUCUGUCUGUCUGUCUGUCUGUCUGUCUGUCUGUCUGUCUGUCUGUCUGUCUGUCUGUCUGUCUGUCUGUCUGUCUGUCUGUCUGUCUGUCUGUCUGUCUGUCUGUCUGUCUGUCUGUCUGUCUGUCUGUCUGUCUGUCUGUCUGUCUGUCUGUCUGUCUGUCUGUCUGUCAAUCCGUGUGUCUGUCUGUCCGUGUGUCUGUCUGGUUGUCCGUCCGUGUGUCUGUCUAUCUGUCCGUGUGUCUGUCUGGUUGUCCGUCCGUGUGUCUGUCUGUCUGUCCGUGUGUCCGCCUGUCUGUCUUUGUCUGUCUGUCAGUCUGUCUGUCUGUCUGUCUACAACCACAGCUCAGAGACCACCAACCAAACUCCAACCAAAUGUUGUUGUUCUAACCCAUGAAGGCAUGUCAAUGAAUACAGAAGCACUCCCGCAUAGUGUCAUGAUAUAAUCCAAGUGUCGUAAAAUAACUUCCACGUGUCGUCAUGGUUUUUUGGCAGCUGAACUCGGAGAUUGUCCGAAUGUAGAAUUGAGUAAAGUAGAGUAGAGUAGAGUAUGUGUGAGCUUCUAUGAACGUCCUAACAUAACUAACGUUCCCCAUGACACAUAUAGAUAGUACUAGCAGUCUGUCUGUUCAUCUUCCAAGGCACUUCUCUCUUU
rnacentral:lncRNA from 1 species